rnacentral:rRNA from 1 species
UACGUAGGUGACAAGCGUUGUCCGGAUUUACUGGGCGUAAAGAGCGCGCAGGCGGUCGAUCAAGUCGAGUGUGAAAGCCCCCGGCUCAACUGGGGAGGGUCAUUCGAUACUGAUCGACUCGAAGGCAGGAGAGGGUAGUGGAAUUCCCGGUGUAGUGGUGAAAUUCGUAGAUAUCAGGAGGAACACCAGUGGCGAAGGCGGCUUCCUGGACACCAACUGACGCUGAGACGCGAAAGCGUGGGGAGCAAACAGG